UUAAGCGACUAAGCGUACACGGUGGAUGCCCUGGCAGUCAGAGGCGAUGAAGGACGUGCUAAUCUGCGAAAAGCGCCGGCAAGGUGAUAUGAACCGCUACAGCCGGCGAUGUCCGAAUGGGGAAACCCAGUGUGUUUCGACACACUAUCGCAACAUGAAUACAUAGUGUUGCGAGGCGAACCGGGGGAACUGAAACAUCUAAGUACCCCGAGGAAAAGAAAUCAACCGAGAUUCCCCCAGUAGCGGCGAGCGAACGGGGAGCAGCCCAGAGUCUGAAUCAGCUUGUGUGCUAGUGGAAGCGUCUGGAAAGUCGCAGGGUACAGGGUGAUACUCCCGUACACGAAAGCACACUUGCUGUGAACUCGAAGAGUAGGGCGGGACACGUGGUAUCCUGUCUGAAUAUGGGGGGACCAUCCUCCAAGGCUAAAUACUCCUGACUGACCGAUAGUGAACCAGUACCGUGAGGGAAAGGCGAAAAGAACCCCGGCGAGGGGAGUGAAACAGAACCUGAAACCGUGUACGUACAAGCAGUGGGAGCCUCUUUAAUGGGGUGACUGCGUACCUUUUGUAUAAUGGGUCAGCGACUUAUAUUCUGUAGCAAGGUUAACCGUAUAGGGGAGCCGCAGGGAAACCGAGUCUUAACUGGGCGUUAAGUUGCAGGGUAUAGACCCGAAACCCGGUGAUCUAGCCAUGGGCAGGUUGAAGGUUGGGUAACACUAACUGGAGGACCGAACCGACUAAUGUUGAAAAAUUAGCGGAUGACCUGUGGCUGGGGGUGAAAGGCCAAUCAAACCGGGAGAUAGCUGGUUCUCCCCGAAAGCUAUUUAGGUAGCGCCUCGUGAACUCAUCUCCGGGGGUAGAGCACUGUUUCGGCUAGGGGGCCAUCCCGGCUUACCAACCCGAUGCAAACUGCGAAUACCGGAGAAUGUUAUCACGGGAGACACACGGCGGGUGCUAACGUCCGUCGUGAAGAGGGAAACAACCCAGACCGCCAGCUAAGGUCCCAAAGUCAUGGUUAAGUGGGAAACGAUGUGGGAAGGCCCAGACAGCCAGGAUGUUGGCUUAGAAGCAGCCAUCAUUUAAAGAAAGCGUAAUAGCUCACUGGUCGAGUCGGCCUGCGCGGAAGAUGUAACGGGGCUAAACCAUGCACCGAAGCUGCGGCAGCGACGCGUAUGCGUUGUUGGGUAGGGGAGCGUUCUGUAAGCCGUCGAAGGUGUGCUGUGAGGCAUGCUGGAGGUAUCAGAAGUGCGAAUGCUGACAUAAGUAACGAUAAAGCGGGUGAAAAGCCCGCUCGCCGGAAGACCAAGGGUUCCUGUCCAACGUUAAUCGGGGCAGGGUGAGUCGACCCCUAAGGCGAGGCUGAAAAGCGUAGUCGAUGGGAAACAGGUUAAUAUUCCUGUACUUGGUGUUGCUGCGAAGGGGGGACGGAGAAGGCUAUGUUGGCCGGGCGACGGUUGUCCCGGUUUAAGCGUGUAGGUGUGUGUUCCAGGCAAAUCCGGUUCACUUUACACUGAGGCGUGACGACGAGGCACUACGGUGCUGAAGCAACAAAUGCCCUGCUUCCAGGAAAAGCCUCUAAGCUCCAGGCAACACGAAAUCGUACCCCAAACCGACACAGGUGGUCAGGUAGAGAAUACCAAGGCGCUUGAGAGAACUCGGGUGAAGGAACUAGGCAAAAUGGUGCCGUAACUUCGGGAGAAGGCACGCUGGCGCGUAGGUGAAGGGACUUGCUCCCGGAGCCGAGGCCAGUCGAAGAUACCAGCUGGCUGCAACUGUUUAUUAAAAACACAGCACUGUGCAAACACGAAAGUGGACGUAUACGGUGUGACGCCUGCCCGGUGCCGGAAGGUUAAUUGAUGGGGUUAUCCGUAAGGAGAAGCUCUUGAUCGAAGCCCCGGUAAACGGCGGCCGUAACUAUAACGGUCCUAAGGUAGCGAAAUUCCUUGUCGGGU
rnacentral:rRNA from 1 species